ensembl:misc_RNA 7SK 7SK RNA
GGAUGUGAGGGCAAUCCGGCCACCGCAUCUGUCACCCCAUUGAUUGCCAGGGUUGAUUCAGCUGAUCUGGCUGGCUAGGUGGGUGCUCCCUUCCUCCCUCACUGUUCCAUGCGCACGUCUCCCGAAGCUGCACACUCAAUCGAAAAGGACAACCUUCCCUGCUAGUGCAGAAACAGAUUUUGGUCAAAGACAUGUGAGUGGCUGUGAUCCCCUACUAGAACCUUCGAAUAGGCUCUCAAGAGAAUACCUACAGUUUCUUUUAUUAAAUACCAAAGUUAAAUGUCUCCUGGUGUAAAGUAUAUACUUUGUAAUCAACUCUCUCAC